rnacentral:rRNA from 1 species
UCCGCCGCAAGGUGUUGUACCGAGCCAGCCAAUCCUUUCGCUUCCCGAAAGCGGCGUGUGCCCUUAAUUGUUUGGUGUGCGUUCGUCUUUAUUUCGGGACUUUUACUGUGAAAAAAUUAGAGUGUUCAAAGCAGGCGUUUGCUUGAAUAUUUCAGCAUGGAAUAAUGGAAUAGGACAUUGGUUCUAUUUUGUUGGUUUCUAGGACCAAAGUAAUGAUUAAUAGGGAUAGUUGGGGGCAUUAGUAUUUAAUUGUCAGAGGUGAAAUUCUUGGAUUUAUGAAAGACUAACUUCUGCGAAAGCAUUUGCCAAGGAUGUUUUCAUUAAUCAAGAACGAAAGUUAGGGGAUCGAAGAUGAUCAGAUACCGUCGUAGUCCUAACCAUAAACUAUGCCGACUAGGGAUUGGUAGAUGUUACUUUUAUGACUCUAUCAGCACCUUAUGAGAAAUCAAAGUCUUUGGGUUCCGGGGGGAGUAUGGUCGCAAGGCUGAAACUUAAAGGAAUUGACGGAAGGGCACCACCAGGAGUGGAGCCUGCGGCUUAAUUUGACUCAACACGGGGAAACUCACCAGGUCCAGACAUGGUAAGGAUUGACAGAUUGAGAGCUCUUUCUUGAUUCUAUGGGUGGUGGUGCAUGGCCGUUCUUAGUUGG